rnacentral:rRNA from 1 species
AUUGAACGCUGGCGGCAGGCCUAACACAUACAAGUCGGACGGUAGCACAGAGGAGCUUGCUCCUCGGGUGACGAGUGGCGGACGGGUGAGUAAUGUCUGGGGAUCUGCCCGAUAGAGGGGGAUAACCACUGGAAACGGUGGCUAAUACCGCAUAACGUCGCAAGACCAAAGAGGGGGACCUUCGGGCCUCUCACUAUCGGAUGAACCCAGAUGGGAUUAGCUAGUAGGCGGGGUAACGGCCCACCUAGGCGACGAUCCCUAGCUGGUCUGAGAGGGUGACCAGCCACACUGAGACUGAGACACGGCCCAGACUCCUACGGGAGGCAGCAGUGGGGAAUAUUGCACAAAGGGCGCAAGCCUGAUGCAGCCAUGCCGCGUGUAUGAAGAAGGCCUUCGGGUUGUAAAGUACUUUCAGCGGGGAGGAAGGCGAUGUGGUUAAUAACCGCAUUGAUUGACGUUACCCGCAGAAGAAGCACCGGCUAACUCCGUGCCAGCAGCCGCCGCAG